rnacentral:lncRNA from 10 species
AUCAUAUUUAUUUUCAGUUUGGACAUUAAUAAAGGAGGAAAAUCUAAGUCCUUAACCUGUGGGAUCUGAUGCUAUUUCGAGAAAAUGGCUAGAAAAAGGGAAUCUAAGAUAGUGGAGCCAUGUAAUGAGAGGAGCCAGAUACCUGUGUCAACACUUGGAGACAAGCUACUGAGGAAUGCAUACGAAUAAACAACAUUGGACUUUACAUGAAGAAGAAAUAAACUUUUCAUUAUUUUGUAUUGUUUUUGUUAUAGAGGCUAGGGUUGAUUACCAUGACAAUGUUUAAACAUAGGUAAUCUCAAAAAUACAAAUUAAUAUAAAAAGCCUUUGUAGGGAAAUGGAUGGAGCUGGAGACCAUUAUCCUUAGCAAACUGAGGCAGGAAGAGAAAACCAAAUACCACAUGUUCUCACUUAUAAGUGAGAGCUAAAUGAUGAGAACACCUGGACACAUAGAGGGAAACAACACACACUGUGGCCUAUCAGAGGGUGGAGGGUGGGAGGAGGGAGAGGGUCAAGAAAAAUAACUAAUGUAUACUAGGCUUAAUACCUGGGUGAUGAAAUAAUCUGUACAACAAACCCCCAUGAUGCAUGUUUACCUGUGUAACAAACCUGCACAUGUACUUCUGAAUUUAAAAACAUCAAUUUGCA